rnacentral:rRNA from 1 species
UAGGGAAUCUUCCACAAUGGGCGCAAGCCUGAUGGAGCAACGCCGCGUGAGUGAAGAAGGUCUUCGGAUCGUAAAACUCUGUUGUUAGAGAAGAACAUGCAGGAGAGUAACUGUUCUUGUAUUGACGGUAUUUAACCAGAAAGUCACGGCUAACUACGUGCCAG